AGGGCGAACGCUGGCGGCAGGCUUAACACAUGCAAGUCGAGCGGGCGUAGCAAUACGUCAGCGGCAGACGGGUGAGUAACGCGUGGGAACGUACCUUUUGGUUCGGAACAACACAGGGAAACUUGUGCUAAUACCGGAUAAGCCCUUACGGGGAAAGAUUUAUCGCCGAAAGAUCGGCCCGCGUCUGAUUAGCUAGUUGGUGAGGUAACGGCUCACCAAGGCGACGAUCAGUAGCUGGUCUGAGAGGAUGAUCAGCCACAUUGGGACUGAGACACGGCCCAAACUCCUACGGGAGGCAGCAGUGGGGAAUAUUGGACAAUGGGCGCAAGCCUGAUCCAGCCAUGCCGCGUGAGUGAUGAAGGCCCUAGGGUUGUAAAGCUCUUUUGUGCGGGAAGAUAAUGACGGUACCGCAAGAAUAAGCCCCGGCUAACUUCGUGCCAGCAGCCGC
rnacentral:rRNA from 1 species